CUUACCUGUCUUGCAGGAUCUGCACAGCAGUACAUGGGACAAGACGAGUUCUUCGGAGAGCAGUAUGGACACACUCAGAGCUCCAGCGAGCCCAUAAACCAGCAGUAUUACCCUGAUGGUCAUGGGGAGUAUUCAUAUCAACAGUCUUCAUAUGGUGAACAAGGGUAUGAUAGAUCAUUUGAUGAAUCCUCACAACAUUACUAUGAAGGAGGUAACUCUCAGUACAGUCAACAGCAGGCCCAGUAUCAACAGAGCUCUGGCCAGCAGCAAGCCUUCAGCCAACAGCAGUACUCUUCUCAACAAGGCUACAGUGGACAGCCCCAGGGAUAUGGUCCAGUCCAGGGAGGAUCGUCUCAAUAUUCUCAGUAUCAGCAGAGUCAAAGCCAACAGUAUGGAUCCUACCGAUCUUCCCAGGGAGGCCCUGGAGCGCAGACGCAGAGGCCGUUCUCCUAUGAACAGGGUCAAUAUGGAAAUUAUCAGCAGUGAGGCACCACAAUGUUUUGCUGGUGGAAGAAAGUGUGCGAUGGAACAUUCAACAGUAAUGAACUGGGCUCAGCUAUGGAUUAGAUCAAGCUGCCAUCAGAUUUAUUAUCCUCUCAUUAAUCAUCAUUCUAGCUAAAAUAAUUAAUCCAGUCAAAUGUGACGCUUCCCUCCUCCGUUUUAAUUUCAACAGGGUUGUAGCUGGUUGUGGUGCUUGCAAAACUAAGGCAGUUAAUGUAACCAUUCUAUACAAGCUACUAAAAAGGGUUCUGUGGAGCUGUCACAUGCACCUCAGCAACAUGCACAAAUGAACUUGUUCUCUAUCC
rnacentral:lncRNA from 1 species